UACGAAGGGGGCUAGCGUUGCUCGGAAUCACUGGGCGUAAAGCGCACGUAGGCGGUUCUUUAAGUCGGGGGUGAAAUCCUGGAGCUCAACUCCAGAACUGCCUUCGAUACUGUAGAUCUUGAGUCCGGGAGAGGUGAGUGGAACUGCGAGUGUAGAGGUGAAAUUCGUAGAUAUUCGCAAGAACACCAGUGGCGAAGGCGGCUCACUGGCCCGGUACUGACGCUGAGGUGCGAAAGCGUGGGGAGCAAACCGG
rnacentral:rRNA from 1 species